ensembl:lncRNA
CAAGAGCAAGUCCGCCUGGCUUUCCAUCCUGAGUCCAAAUCUCUCCCAGAAGGCACUCAUUCUACCCCAGGAGCAGGGUCUACUGGGACAAGACGAGCUGUCCAGGCCAAGAAGCAGCAGUUAUGCUUGGGUGGAUGUGAUGGGGAUGCCUUCAAGCUUAAGCUUCUUGUGCUCUGGUUCAAAGAGAGAGUCACCUGAGAACACUAUGGGACACCAUGCUCCUGUACUUCAGAGAGCUGAGAUCUCUUGCAUCGACUCCUUAGUCUGUUUCUCCUGAUCAAUGCUCUCACCUGAACUAUGUUUACCUACUCACACCCAUGCGGCUUUUCGACUGUCAUUACCCAAUGAGAUAAAUAGGAUGUGCUUAAAUCAGACCACAUAGGCUGAACCCACCAGCUUGAAAUUGUGUCACUACUGGCUUCUCUGAGAUCUAAACCUCUUGCAGAUGGUCUGUGGUUCCUGACUGUAUAAAUAGCAGGAAGCUGGCUGAAAGUGGCUGUGGUGCACAGGACAUUUUUCCUCCCCUAUGUAAAAAUGACUUUUAGCAAAACUGGGAACUAAAGUAAAACACCACCCACGGGCUCUACCAGCUUUCAUCUUCUGAAAGAUUUCCAUUCCUGGUCACAGGAACACAGAAGAACUAGGAAAAACCUGCGGACCAUAGAAGCUAUUGCAUUCGUCCUAUGAGCAGACUUUGUUACAAGAGAAUUUCAGACGUCAGCAUGAAUUUGUGCUCGGCAGGGGCAGUGUGGGUAGCUGUGAUGAGUUCCAGGCUUCGUCAUUUGUGUCAGCACAGUGCUGAGAAAUAAGGAACGAUCAGUACGGAGGAGCUGUGAACUCUCAAGUCUUUGAUUGAAACGUGUGUCGUAGGAGGAGCGAAUACAAAGGUGAUCCACCGUGGCUGUUGAACCUUGGCCUUGCUGAAGUCAGUGGCAGUUCCUAAUAGUGAUGAGCUUAGGAAGGCACACCUGAGCACUGCUGUCUGCUGGCCUGUUCGUUUGUGCCCUCAGGAGGAGCACCUCUCUUCGGGGAAAGUAGCAAAGUGUCUGUUGCUGCUGCUUCCAGGACACGAUGUAUAGUGAGCCAGUCCCACUCUCAUGCGUAGAGGUUUGUGUCUAGAUGAGCUUGGCAUUUUGAGUACAGCGUGCUCGUCUCUGUGGAGGGCCAGGCUCACUCCAAUGAAGGUAUUCAGAAGCCCUGUGUUCAUCUCUUUGGUAGCCAUAGACCAUCAGAGCAGUGAAAAGAUGCUGUGUCUGACAGGUGAGAGAUUGGCAGUGAUGAAGACUUCUGCCAUAUUAACUCUAGACAGAGUUGUGAACAGCAUGUUUGGCCUUAGCACUAACUGAAGGAAACCCUGGGUAGAGCCCAUCCAGCUCAGCAGCACAGAGCAUUCUUCUGAGCAAAUCCAAGACCCUGUUUCCUUUUAGAUCAGGACAAAACAGUGCAAAGCAGUGCAAGGAACAGUGCCCAUUUUCCUCCCAAGAGCUCACCUUGGGCCGUAGGUACCAGAAGCACUUCUCCAGCUGGAGCUUGCAUGCCUCAGUUUCUUACCUGUGCUUGGCCUGCAGCUGAAGGAAGCUCUCCUGUGAUGUUGUAACAGGACCAGCUUCUGCAUGUUUUUAGAGUGUUGGAAUGUUUUCAUCCAGAACUGAUGCAGGGUGGCUUGCAAGUUGUCCCAAGCAUUUCAAGCCUGAUGCCUUGUCCCACUCCACCACCAUAGCUGGCCUUGUUCCUGAGGAAGCCCCAGGCUGAGCCACUGAGUGAGGCUUCUCCUCAAAGAGCUUCCUGGGAUGCCCUCAUCCCCUUGGACUUCCCUCCCUUCAACUUUCAUAAGCAGGGGCAUUCUGAGUGAGUGACUGCUGUGCUGAGCAUUAGGGCUGUGAAGAGAAGAAAGCUGAGUUUUACAUCAAGAUGGGGGAGGAAAGAGCCUGCUGCUCAUUGAAUUAGAUCUCAGCAGGCAAUGUCACCAUGCAGGAACCUCCCCAACUCCCCGUUGUCCCCCAGAGUACUGCCUGGGGCACGAGGGCUCACACUGCCUUCACUCCUCCCAGGGCUAGUGGAGACUUUCUGCCUCUGGUUCAGGCAGUGAAUGAGGUAUGGAAAAACUGUUGAGGACUCCAUGGACAACACACACUGUAACAUCUUUAUCCAUCUCCCCAUCCUCUCUUUCACGAAAUGAUUGCCUCCAAGGGACUGUGCUAUUUUUCUUCUUGUUUUUAGCUAUGUUGGCAUAGGAGCCACGGGAAAGGAGCUGGGAGGUGAUGGUUGCAGCUCUGUUCGUGUCUGUGUAAUCACUCAUGGCUCUCUUACUCAGCUAAUUAAAACCAAACCCCCUCUGGCUACCC